rnacentral:lncRNA from 1 species
GUUUCACUGCAUCAAGCAAAGGUAUGUUGAUCUCCACUUUUCUAAAGGUUUCAAGGAUCUCUCUUUCUUCUUUUUCUUUUUGUGAUUUUUCAAAUCUUUUUGGAAAGGGAGGUGGAAUCUUGAAGCUUACUUGCUAGUUUGUAUUCUACUAGUGUACUGGUUCUGCUUGACCAGUUUGUUUGGGCAAACAGUUUUCUGGCUGUUUUUCUUCAGCAGCUUGUCUUUGCACUUGUGAAC